UUCAUGCGAUUCAGGCCAGGCAUGUGCGUAGCAACAUCUGGAUUAUACCUUUGUGUGUAUAAUAACAUAUUUGGACUCUACACUCCCAAACGCAGUCCUUUCUAGAAAUGACAUGGUCUGCUCUGCCUAUCUGGCAACGUUCAUUCAAACAGAGACCAGUCCAUUCAGAAGCCCAGAGUGCACUCAUUCAUGCUCAACACAAGCCCUGCCUUCGCUCGCUCUCUCUCACACACACACACACAUACACAUUCACUUUCUUUAUUUAUUUAUCUCCGAGUUUGCUUAGCAACCGCGCCGCAAAGUGAAGCACUGCAGCGGUGAGUCAACCUGCCGCCGUACUGACGAGAGAUGGAAGGACAGAUGAUGCUGUCAGACUGCAGACAAGGUGAGGGACUGGAGCCAUUCAGGUCUGGAAACCACUGCUUUCUGUUAAGCAUGAGACAUAUUAAUCAUUUCCUGGAGUGCAGCCACUCGCAAGGCAGGUCUGAGCUCCUGUGAUCUGAGUGAGUCUUAACUCACUUCCUGUGUCUGGUGCUGAGUGGGUGAGAGCCGUGUCACAGCACUGGAAACAGAAUGAGAAAGACAAAGAUGCAGAGAGAAUAUAAAUCUGCGUGACAGUCUGUAGUCACAUUCAGUGGUGUUUUGGCACUGAACUCACUGAACCUGGUGUGUCUGUCUAACAAUGGUGCCUAAUAUUUGGGUCUAAACCUGGGUUGCAGGAGCCGCGUGGGCUCACACAGAGACAGCGGUGUAUGAUUCAUAUCGGCUGGAGUGCUCCUUUUGUGAACUGCUGCCGCCACAUCUCUGCUGUAACAUGGCCUUCACAGAAAUGAAGCCACGAAGGG